AGCGAACGCUGGCGGCAGGCCUAACACAUGCAAGUCGAACGGACCCUUCGGGGUUAGUGGCGGACGGGUGAGUAACACGUGGGAACGUGCCUUUAGGUUCGGAAUAGCUCCUGGAAACGGGUGGUAAUGCCGAAUGUGCCCUUCGGGGGAAAGAUUUAUCGCCUUUAGAGCGGCCCGCGCCUGAUUAGCUAGUUGGUGGUGUAACGGACCACCAAGGCGACGAUCAGUAGCUGGUCUGGGAGGAUGAUCAGCCACAUUGGGACUGAGACACGGCCCAAACUCCUACGGGAGGCAGCAGUGGGGAAUCUUGCGCAAUGGGCGAAAGCCUGACGCAGCCAUGCCGCGUGAAUGAUGAAGGUCUUAGGGUUGUAAAAUUCUUUCACCGGGGACGAUAAUGACGGUACCCGGAGAAGAAGCCCCGGCUAACUUCGUGCCAGCCGCCGCAGUAAAAC
rnacentral:rRNA from 1 species